UACGUAGGGUGCGAGCGUUAAUCGGAAUUACUGGGCGUAAAGCGUGCGCAGGCGGUUCGUUAAGUCAGAUGUGAAAGCCCCGGGCUCAACCUGGGAACUGCAUUUGAAACUGGCGGGCUUGAGUGUGGCAGAGGGGGGUGGAAUUCCACGUGUAGCAGUGGAAUGCGUAGAGAUGUGGAGGAACACCGAUGGCGAAGGCAGCCCCCUGGGCUGAGAUUGACGCUCAGGCACGAAAGCGUGGGGAGCAAACAGG
rnacentral:rRNA from 1 species